GGGCGGGUGGCUCAGUGGUAGAGCGCUUGCCUGGCAUGCAGGAAGCCCUGGGUUCAAUUCUUCAGUCCCA
rnacentral:tRNA from 1 species